CCCUUAGAUGUUCUGGGCCGCACGCGCGCUACACUGAUUCAUGCAACAAGUUUUGUCCUUGGCUGAUAGGCCUGGGUAAUCUUUGAACGUGAAUCGUGAUGGGGAUAGAUGAUUGCAAUUAUUCAUCUUCAACGAGGAAUUCCUAGUAAACGCAAGUCAUCAGCUUGCAUUGAUUACGUCCCUGCCCUUUGUACACACCGCCCGUCGCACCUACCGAUUGAAUGGUCCGGUGAAGCCUCCGGAUUGGCGCGCACCUCGGUGCCGCCGAGAAGUUGGCUAAACCUUNCNAUUUAGNGGAAGGUGAANUCGUANCA
rnacentral:rRNA from 1 species